rnacentral:lncRNA from 1 species
UCAGGCGGAUGGGACUGCACACUUACACUUACGUCCCUGCACCUGCAAAGGCUAUAUGUACCAUUUCUCAGGAUGAUUGAACAUGACGACAUACUGAGCACAUGGGCGCGCAACGCGUCUUCAUCUCAGCACUCCUUAUAUUGAACCCCCCUCUCCCAAAUCCUUGCAUGCCACUGAACACUCCCAUAUCCUUCGACGCCACUGAGCACGGGUAAUAACUAUGUCAUCUGCAAGAGAGAGAGGUCAUG